UACAGAGGGUGCGAGCGUUAAUCGGAAUUACUGGGCGUAAAGCGUGCGUAGACGGUUAUUUAAGUCGGAUGUGAAAGCCCCGGGCUCAACCUGGGAAUUGCAUUCGAGACUGAAUAGCUAGGGUGCGGUAGAGGGAAGCAGAAUUUCCGGUGUAGCGGUGAAAUGCGUAGAUAUCGGAAGGAACAUCAGUGGCGAAAGCGGCUUCCUGGACCAGCACCGACGUUCAGGCACGAAAGCGUGGGGAGCAAACAGG
rnacentral:rRNA from 1 species